rnacentral:rRNA from 1 species
AUUGAACGCUGGCGGCAGGCCUAACACAUGCAAGUCGAGCGGAUGAAGGGAGCUUGCUCCUGGAUUCAGCGGCGGACGGGUGAGUAAUGCCUAGGAAUCUGCCUGGUAGUGGGGGAUAACGUCCGGAAACGGGCGCUAAUACCGCAUACGUCCUGAGGGAGAAAGUGGGGGAUCUUCGGACCUCACGCUAUCAGAUGAGCCUAGGUCGGAUUAGCUAGUUGGUGGGGUAAAGGCCUACCAAGGCGACGAUCCGUAACUGGUCUGAGAGGAUGAUCAGUCACACUGGAACUGCGACACGGUCCAGACUCCUACGGGAGGCAGCAGUGGGGAAUAUUGGACAAUGGGCGAACGCCUGAUCCAGCCAUGCCGCGUGUGUGAAGAAGGUCUUCGGAUUGUAAAGCACUUUAAGUUGGGAGGAAGGGCAGUAAGUUAAUACCUUGCUGUUUUGACGUUACCAACAGAAUAAGCACCGGCUAACUUCGUG